UGAAAAUUUUAUUUCAACCUCCCCCAACCCACAUAGCUUAAAACCCACCCCGCCCACAUAGCCUAAAACCCUCCCCGCCCUCGCCCUCGCCCAUCCCGCUCUUCCCUGUUGACAUUCGUAGUUUUGAAGGGCAUUGGAGGUAAAAAAAAUAGAUCCAAAAUCACACCUUCCAUCGAACCCGCCCCUCGGAGGAAAACAAUAGAUCCAAAACAGCACCUUCUAUCGAACCCGACCCUUUCUUUCUUCAUCUCCGCCAUUAUGUUUCCCACGUGAAUCUCCAUCGAUAUCCAUCCCAACCAUAUCCCCUAUGUUUUCAACAUCCCUAAUCUCAAAACACCAACAAGAUCUCAUCCAUAGCCACCACUUUUCUAUCACUUAUUCGAUUCCGACGAAGUCAAGGGGUAUCAGUCGUGUUGCGUGUCUUGGUCCUGAUUGAUGUGAAACUUCAGUUUCUAGUUCGAAUUUUUUUUAGUUUGGUUUUAUCUCUACACUUUUGACCAACACUUCUGUAUAAAUUUGUUUUGGAGACUCUACAUUAAUUGGAACCUUCUAUUAAAGGUCAAUAAAAAUGCCUUAAGAUUUUGGGAUCUCCACGAGGUUGGUAGGAAAACAUUAGGAUGUGUUUAAUGUUACACGAACUUAGGUAGAACAAAAGGUUGGUUGGCUUCCUGGCGGAUUAGUGAACCCAGAUGUGAAAAUGAAAUUAUUUUAUAUCAAAGGAUGUGUCCCGAUAUCUUGCUGGCAACUUUUAGGCUGCAUUAGUACUUGAAAUCUUCCUAAAGGAAUUCAUUUAUUGUUAUAAGACAUACUUUUUUUACGAUCCAAUAAUACUUUAAGAGCUUCACCAAUCAAUGUAAAAGCAUCAGUUGAACUAGGGAACAUGUUCUUAUCAAGAUGUAGCAAGAGAGCAAACUUGCAGAACUGCUUCCUGAUAAGAGCAUCAUCUAUUGUUGUCUCAACUUUAAAAAAUACGCUACCAAUAUUUCUCAGUUCUAGAUGGUUUACUCUACAGAGAAAUGCACCUCACAAGCCAAGACCAUAUGUGUAUUGUUAUCCAUAUCAGGAAAGAGCUUCUAGGCAAACUUUUUCGCUCCAACAAAAUCUCCAUUUUCCAUCAUCUUUUCAGCAAACCUUAUAACCCUGAUGGCCUUUACUUUGUUGAAUUCCAUCAAAAGUAUAUAAUUUGAUAGUCCCACUCAUAUGUUUACCUUACACUUAAGAUGGCAGAUUCCAGUAGAAGCAAAGGAUAAAGAAACUAUAAUAUUCACAUUAGAUGUUCAAGUUCAUAUACUGUUCAGUUGAAUGUGAAGUUGAUGACUUGCUUGAGUAAAAAUAUGAGAAUGUAAAUGAAAAAGUGGUUGUACAUGAAAAAGGAAGUGUUAAUAUUCCCUCAGAUCUUGAGACUUCUACCAUGACUAAGUCAAAAAAAUUUGAAUGUACAUAUCAAGAUUUUAGUGAUUUUGACAAGGACAAGGAAGAAUUUUGCUUUAAAAGUUGAAUAAGUAUGGGUUAUUUAUGAUACUCUAGAAGUCAUGCCUACAUUUUAUGCAGUCAUCAGGAAGAUUUUGUACCUUGAGUUUAAGUUGCGCAUAACUUGGUUAGAGUUGAAUCCGCUGAAUGCACAUGAAACCGAAUGGCUAUCGGAGUGCUUUCCUAUGUCUUUUGGUAGUUUCAGACUAGAAAACUUAGAAUACAUUAGAUCAUCCUAUAAUCUCACAUUUGGAAUGUGUAAUAAAUGGAAAUAAGUAGAAUACGAUAAAUGUAUCUCCACGUGAAGAAGAGACUUGGUCCAUCUUUAAGGACUAGGAUAUGAAAUAUUGUUAUCAUCUUGAGAGUAAGAAAAAGUUCAAUUACGAGCUUGUAGAGGUCUUGUCAUGCUAUGAUAGUGAUAUUGGUGUUCAUGUUGCAUACUUGGAUAAAACAAAAGGCUUUACUUGUCUUUUUCAUCGAGCAGCAACAAAACUAGUGGAAUGACACCUCUUUCUAUUUUCUUCAAAGAAUAUGUUUAGAUUCUCUCAUAGAGUUCCUUCUUUUAAAGAUGACAGGCAUAUAGAGGAGUGAUGUUCCCGGAAGAUCAUUUGAACUAGACCUUUCUUUCUUACCUAUUGACCAAGUAGGCAUUUUUGCUUCUGCAUAUAUAGGUAAGGAAGACUCGGAUAAGCCGAAAUGCCAACUUGGUCAAUAGUUUAAAAAGCAAGAUCAAGUUCAAAGGAUCCUAUAUGAUCAUCAUUCCUCUCUAACCCUAUCAUUUUAAAAGAAGGAACUAAUAUAAGAGAAUCUAAACAUAUCCUUUGCGGAAAUUAGAAAUGGAUCUCUUUCCCCUAGUUUUCUUGUUUCUUGAUAAAAAAAGACAAGUAAAGCCUCUUGUUUUACCCAAUUAUGCAACAUGAACACACAUAUCAUUAUCAUAGUCUCACAAGAACUCAACAAGCGCGUUGUUGUGCUUUUUCGUGCUCUUGGGAUGAUAACACUAUUUCAUACCCUAGUCCUUAAAGAUGGACUGUCUCUCCUUCCCGUGGCAAUAUCUUUAUGAAAUUGUAGUUGUAUCCAUUCAUUACGCAAGCCAAAUGUGAGAACAUAGAUGAUCUUCAGAGUAUUCGGAGCUUCUAGUUUGAGCCUACUAGAAGAAGUAGGUAAGCCCUUUGAUAGUCAUUUAGUUUUCUAUAUUCAGUUGAUCUGGUUUUAACCAAGUUAUGCGCAGCAUAAACGCAAGAGAUAAUCUUCCUGAUGACUGCAUAGAAUCUAGGCAUGAAAUCCAGAGUACUAUAAACAACCCAUACUUGUCCAACCUUAAAGCAAGAUUCUUCUUUGUUCUUGUCAAAAUCACUAAAAUAUUGAUCUGCACAUUUAGGUGUUUCUAGUUUUGUCAUAGUAGAAGGCAUUAGAUCUAAGGGAAGAUCAACACUUCUUUUUCCAGGUACAAUCACUCAUUCAUUUGCAAUCUCAUCUUUUUUGUUAUAGAAGUCAUCAGUUUCACAUUCAAUCAAUUGUAUAUGAACUUGAACAACUGAUGUGAAUGUACUAGUUUCUUAAUCCUUUGCUUUUACUGGAAUCUGCCAUUUGGAGUGUAAGCUAAACAUAAGAGUGGGCUAUCAAAUUCUAGACUAGUGAUGUACAUCAACAAAGAAGAGGACAUCAGGGUCAGAGGGAUUGCAGAAAAGAUGAUGGAAAAUAGAGAUUUCAUUGGAGAUUAAAUGUUUGCAUUUAAAACGCAAGAGCUCUUUCCUAAUCUAGAGAACAUUACACAAAUGUUGAUGAUUCACUUAUCAGGAAGCAAUUCCGCAAGCUUGCUUUCUUGCUACAUCCUGAUAAGAACAAGUUCUCUGGUGCAGUUGAUGUUUGUACACUAACUACUUUUGGAAAUGUGUAUCCUAUAUUACUUUUAUGCAAGAAUAAAUUACAAGCCAGUUCUUGACAAUCUUAUUGUCUAUAAAUUGUAAAGGAUUGAAUAUUAUGUAGUUGGAAUCAAACACAAAUAACAUCUUAUUAUUAAACGAAUUAUAAAGGAGGUAAUAGUUAUCGCUGUGGGGUCCAACCCCCAUUUUUCAAAGUAAAAAAGUUGCUGCUCACACUUAUUUUCGUCAACAAAAUAACAAUUUGAUGCAAACUUGGUCAAAGAAAGUGCAUCAAUUGUUAAAAUGGUAAUAUUGAUCAGUGACAUAAGUAUGCUCUUUCUUUCUCUAUAAAUUGAGAGCUUGUGGCUCAUUUGAAGACACACCAAUUCACAGAGAAGAAAGAAAAAUAUUCAGAGAGUUGUAAAGUUUUCAUAGACUAUAUAUAAUAAAAUAGUCUGUGAAGAAAAAUAGAAUAUGAGCGAUAAUUUAGUAAGGUAGAAAUCAAAAGAGUGUUAUUCCUUUUGAAUGUGUUAUAGUUUCUUUGAAGUGUUGUACUUGUGACAACCUAGUGUAAAAUUCCUUACUAGAGUGAUAUCAGGUGCUCCUCUUGGCCCGUGAUUUUUCUCUUAUUUAAAAGGAUUUUCACGUAAAUUCUUAG